AAAUAUAUAUUAAUAUAAAUAAAAAAUUAAAUUAAUAUUUUUGUUAUUUGUUUAUAACAAUAUAUAUAUUUA
rnacentral:tRNA from 1 species